rnacentral:rRNA from 1 species
CCUACGGGGGGCAGCAGUGGGGAAUAUUGCACAAUGGGGGAAACCCUGAUGCAGCGAUGCCGCGUGGAGGAAGAAGGUUUUCGGAUUGUAAACUCCUUUUAUCAGGGACGAUUAUGACUGUAGCUGAAGAAAAAGCUCCGGCUAAAAACGUGACAGCAGCCGAGGUAAUACGUAGGUAGCGAGCGUUGUCCGGACUUACUGGGUGUAACGGGAGCGGAGGCGGGACGGAAAGUCAGAUGUGAAAACUGAGGGCUACAAUUUCAGAGUGCAUUUGAAACUGCUGUUCUUGGGUGAAGUAGGGGGAAGCGGAAUUCGUAGUGUAGCGGUGAAAUGCGUAGAUAUUAGAAGGAACAUCGGUGGCGAAGGCGGCUUACUGGGCUUUUACUGACGCUGAGGCUCGAAAGCGUGGGGAGCAAACAGGAUUAGAUACCCUGGUAGUC